AUUCCCUUCUGGUAUGCUGUGUAUCUUCAUUCUCCAAUAAUAUAUGUCUGCUGGUUGGAAUUUGGAAUAACUAUCUAAGCUGCAUUCGCAUUUGUGUUCAUCUAGUUCUGUUGCAAUGUUUUUGAAGGCGAAUGCAGACUAUCUUCUUUUAGAGUUGAGUUCUGUUUGAUUUAUGAAAAAAUAACAGUAAGCUAUAUAGUAUACACUUUCUAUUCAGAGAUAUUUAAAUGUAC
rnacentral:lncRNA from 1 species